rnacentral:rRNA from 1 species
AACGAACGCUGGCGGCAGGCCUAACACAUGCAAGUCGAGCGAGGACUUCGGUUCUAGCGGCGGACGGGUGAGUAACGCGUGGGAAUGUGCCCUUCUCUACGGAAUAGCCCUGGGAAACUGGGAGUAAUACCGUAUACGCCCUAUUGGGGAAAGAUUUAUCGGAGAAGGAUCAGCCCGCGUUGGAUUAGGUAGUUGGUGGGGUAAUGGCCUACCAAGCCGACGAUCCAUAGCUGGGUUGAGAGGAGGGUCAGCCACACUGGGACUGAGACACGGCCCAGACUGCUACGGGAGGCAGCAGUGGGGAGUCUUAGACAAUGGGGGCAACCCUGAUCUAGCCAUGCCGCGUGAGUGAUGAAGGCCUUAGGGUUGUAAAGCUCUUUCAGCUGGGAAGAUAAUGACGGUACCAGCAGAAGAAGCCCCGGCUAACUCCGUG